rnacentral:rRNA from 1 species
UACGAAGGGGGCUAGCGUUGUUCGGAAUUACUGGGCGUAAAGGGCUCGUAGGCGGCCAACUAAGUCAGACGUGAAAUCCCUCGGCUUAACCGGGGAACUGCGUCUGAUACUGGAUGGCUUGAGUUCGGGAGAGGGAUGCGGAAUUCCAGGUGUAGCGGUGAAAUGCGUAGAUAUCUGGAGGAACACCGGUGGCGAAGGCGGCAACCUGGACCGACACUGACGCUGAGGAGCGAAAGCCAGGGGAGCAAACGGG